rnacentral:rRNA from 1 species
AGAGUUUGAUCAUGGCUCAGAACGAACGCUGGCGGCGCGUUUUAAGCAUGCAAGUCGAACGGCAGCUUUGGUAGCAAUACUGAAGCGAGAGUGGCGAACGGGUGAGUAAGACGUAGGUGAUCUACCCCUGGAUGGGGGAUAGUCCGUGGAAACACGGGGUAAUACCGCAUGAGGCCUUGGGGGUAAAGCCCUGAGGUGAAAGCUCCAACUGGAGCGUCUGGGGAUGAGCCUGCGGCCCAUUAGGCAGUUGGCGGGGUAACGGCCCACCAAACCGACGAUGGGUAGCCGGCCUGAGAGGGUGUACGGCCACACUGGAACUGAGACACGGUCCAGACUCCUACGGGAGGCAGCAGCUAAGAAUCUUCCGCAAUGGGGGAAACCCUGACGGAGCGACGCCGCGUGGACGAUGAAGGCUGCAAGGUUGUAAAGUCUUUUUGCAGGUGAAGAAUAAGCUGGGGAGUGGAAAGCUCUGGUGAUGACGUUAGCCUGCGAAUAAGCCCCGGCCAAUUACGUGCUAGCAGCCGCGGUAAUACGUAUGGGGCGAGCGUUGUUCGGAGUUAUUGGGCGUAAAGGGCGUGUAGGCGGCCUCGAGAAGUCUGGUGUGAAAUCGCAGGGCUCAACUCUGCGGGUGCGCUGGAAACUGACGGGCUGGAGUUCUGGGGGGGAAGCUGGAAUUCCUGGUGUAGGAGUGAAAUCUGUAGAGAUCAGGAAGAACACUGGUGGCGAAGGCGAGCUUCUAUUCGAGGACUGACGCUGAGGCGCGAAAGCGUGGGGAGCAAACAGGAUUAGAUACCCUGGUAGUCCACGCUGUAAACGAUGUGCACUAGGCGUGGGACACGUCGGUGUUCUGUGCCGUAGCUAACGCGAUAAGUGCAUCGCCUGGGGAGUAUGCUCGCAAGGGUGAAACUCAAAGGAAUUG